UUACGCCAUUUUGAAAGUAGAUUACAGUCGAUGGUAGUGAAGGCAGUUACGGUGUUUUGCGAAAUUGUGGAGUACUUGUUCUUAUGAUAUGCUGGGAAGAGGGAGUUGUUAAUCUUAUGACGUUUACUUGCAUAUUAAAAUAGCUUCUUUCCCGGUGAAACGUAGGAGAUUAGCUAUUUUACUGUCAUUGGAAACGUCGAUGUGGUGAAUCAUUCUACAUCCUGUUAUGUCAUUUUUUCAUGCAGCUUGCGCCUGAAAUUUCAGGUGCCCAUAAUUUGUAGAAGAAUGACAGACUAUAAAUGAAAUUAUUUGAUUCAUUUGAGGAUAUUUGUAAGCAGUAAUUUUAUUUCUGGUGGCAAGAGGAUAAGAUUGUGUUGAUGUACUCAUGAAUGCAGACAUUUUGAUAAUGGAUCAGGGAAUUUCAUCAUUUAGCAGCAAAGAUGAAGAGAUCCAGUACUGGAAGGACUUGGCAGUGCAGUUUCAGUCAGGGCUGGAAGAGGCUAGAGAGGAUACGAGACAAGUAGAACGAGAACUUGAAGAAUUCCAGGAAAAUUCACACCAAUUGGAGAAGGAGUUGGAGACACAAUUGGAACAGGCAGAUAAAACAAUACGGGAACUGCGUACGCGUAACAAUAGACUUCAGUUAGAUAAUGACACACUGAAGGAUAAUUAUGAACAGACAAAAAGACAAAACAAUGCACAGAUAUGUGAACUACAAGCAACAGUGUCUGAAUACCGAAAUCAUGAAGAGAGUUUAUUGAAAUAUAUCCGGGAGCUAGAACAGAAGAAUGAUGACUUGGAAAGAUCUCAUAGAGCUAUGAUGACAUCUGUGACUGAGUUUGAGUCUAAGUUGAAUUCUGCAAUAGAGCGCAAUGCUCUUCUCGAAUCUGAACAAGAUGAAGCCAGGGCAAUGGUACAGAGACUGAAAGAUGAAGCUAGAGACUUGAGGCAAGAAAUGAAGAUCCGGAAGUGUGAGGUGCCAGACAACGAUAAAUGUUUUGAGAGAGUUAGAAGCCCUAUUGACUCAAACAAGCUCAAGGUGGAAAUGGAAACUCAAACAGCUGUACCAGGCUCGCCACUCAAAAUGCAGCAGCCUAGAGGGGGACAGAACAUUCCGCUUACCCCACCAGCAAGGAUAUCUGCAAUGAAUAUUGUAGGUGACUUACUUAGGAAGGUUGGGGCAUUGGAAUCAAAACUGGCUUCAUGUCGCAAUGCAUCAAGAGAAAGCCUGCAAUCUGGAGACACACCUACCAGAGAUGCUUACAGGUAGUUGAAAUUGAUGACGUUUCUUACACUUUUAACCACUGACAAGCGUGUUGAACAUUUUUAAGGGGAAGGCGACUCAAUCGUGGCACAUCAUCCCCAUCAAUCCAUGGCUACUUACGGGCCUAAUUGCAAGAAUUCAUCCAUCAUCACUGCAUAUUUUAACCACUCUCUGCUGCUUUUUGUAGCUGGCACAGUAGUAAAACAUGUGGAGCAGUGCCUUUUUUAUUGCUGUCAUUGACAAAAAUGGUUCUGGAGUCCAGUAAUGUGUACUUGAUAUUUGUAAGAGACAGUAUUAGGUUGCAUAAUUAUGUGUGCUUAUGAUUUCUUUUAGAAGCUGUAAGGCAUAGGUUACUAAAUAAUAACAUUAUGACUCACAUAAAAAAUGUUAUCCUUAUAUGAGAUUAUAGGAGGGUGAUGUUUAAGUAGGGAAAGUGCUGAAUAUUAAAAUAAAAAUGUAAUAUUUAAUGUGAAUGAAAUUGUUUUAUAAAAUAAUGUGUAAAUUGAGCUUAGGGCAGUUUAGCACCAUUCGUUCUAAACACUUUGUUUGUAUUUUCACUAGAAAGUCUUCAGAAAAACCUUUGUUAUGUUGCAUUUGCUGGUCUUCCCAGUGUAGUGUAUUUUCUUCAGUUCUUAUUUCCUAGAGUGUUCUUCCAUAAUGUAGAAAUUUCCCUUCAUGUAAUCAGUGCAGAAAAUUGUCUUAAUAUUAAGCACUUCUUGAGCACUUUUCUCAACCAGUAGUGUCAAUGGAAUAUGUGAUAGUGUAUCUCAGAAUCAGAGCUGACUAGUUUUGUAUGUUAUUUUCCGAGCAUAAUGCAAGUCUAAGGUAAUAAGUUUUACACAUCUCUGCUGUGCAGCAGGAAAUAGCUGUAAAUGUUAAAGACUGUGGUUUCCAUAUGUCUUUGAACUACCAUGAUCAUAAAAAUGAAUACUUAUUUUCAACACAAAAUAGUUAUUUUAAAAUUAUUUAUUUUAUCUUUAAGGGUGUUAUCUGUAAUUUUUAAAACUUACAGUCAAUCCAGAAACACUCUCUGAAUGCCAGUUUUAACCAUAAGCCCUGCUUUCCCAGACAUGGUUCCUGCAGAGCCUCUAACAUAAAGGAUGAGGCAGACAGCAUAUCAUACUCAUGAUAUUUACACACUGGUAUUAAAUGGAAUGUGUCAUGUCCAUUGUUUUGAUACAUUUCAAAAUCUUUCAGUUAAAUUUAAUACAAGCCUACAAUAGUAUGCUUGAUUUAUAUCAGGCAUGAACAAUUUAAAAUUAAAUGUUUUAGGUUCUUGUUUUAUGAAAAUCAGGUUGACUGCUGUAAAAUCUGAAGCUUGAGCAGCAGCUAAAGUUAAUACAAUUUUCUCGAGCUGUAGGCCAUGUCAGUUGAUUAAUUCUUUGGUGACAUAUGACAUUUAUAAGGAAACUUCCUGUGUGGUUGAUGGGACAUUUAAAUAAUCUCACCCCAGAAAUGCAACUUUUACUAAAGAAAGAUUUAGGCAAUUUAAAGGCAAACAGUUGACAGUGUAUUGAGAAAAGAAUGUAGAAUUAGAUUAUAGACAAUGCACAGGGUAAUAUAAGUACUUACACCCCAUAAACAUUAUAUUUUGAGGAAGUGCCAAAUUUGGGGGGGAUUACACUGUAUUUGUAAAAGAACAUAAAAUUUGGUUAUAAGGAUUGCACUUUAAGAGAAUUUUGAAAGAGUAUUAAAAUAUUUUUGAUUACCUUAGAAAAGAAAUUAUAUAUGAUAAGCUUCUAAGCAGUCCUCUAAACACAGCCUGACAUUACACCACGGGCUACAAAAUCUUGUCUUUCUAUAUUUUUGUUGGCUCUGUGCGUCUCCUCUGUGGUGUACACUCUUUUCUCCAGAUGGAACUUUGUGAGUGAAAUAUUUCUCAGUUUUGUAAUGAUCUGUUGCAUGGUGAUCAGUUUGUAAUGCAUGUGUCUUCGAUUUUCAGAUUUUUUGUGGACACCACUGGGGGCACAUGGUAGCAUAGUCAUUUGAGGUAUUAUG